GAUGAACGCUGGCGGCGUGCCUAAUACAUGCAAGUCGAGCGAACGGACGAGAAGCUUGCUUUUCUGAUGUUAGCGGCGGACGGGUGAGUAACACGUGGAUAACCUACCUAUAAGACUGGGAUAACUUCGGGAAACCGGAGCUAAUACCGGAUAAUAUUUUGAACCGCAUGGUUCAAAAGUGAAAGACGGUCUUGCUGUCACUUAUAGAUGGAUCCGCGCUGCAUUGGCUAGUUGGUAAGGUAACGGCUUACCAAGGCAACGAUGCAUAGCCGACCUGAGAGGGUGAUCGGCCACCCUGGAACUGAGACACGGUCCAGACUCCUACGGGAGGCAGCAGUAGGGAAUCUUCCGCAAUGGGCGAAAGCCUGACGGAGCAACGCCGCGUGAGUGAUGAAGGUCUUCGGAUCGUAAAAAUCUGUUAUUAGGGAAGAACAUAUGUGUAAGUAAAUGUGGACAACUUGACGGUACCUAAUCAGAAAGCAACGGCUAACUACGUG
rnacentral:rRNA from 1 species